rnacentral:rRNA from 1 species
GGCUGUCGUCAGCUCGUGUCGUGAGAUCGUUGGGUUAAGUCCCGUAACGAGCGCAACCCUUGUCCUUAGUUACCAGCACGUUAAGGUGGGCACGUCUAAGGGAGACUGCCGGUGACAAACCGGAGGAAGGUGGGGAUGACGUCAAGUCAUCAUGGCCCUUACGGCCUGGGCUACACACGUGCUACAAUGGUCGGUACAAAGGGUUGCCAAGCCGCGAGGUGGAGCUAAUCCCAUAAAACCGAUCGUAGUCCGGAUCGCAGUCUGCAACUCGACUGCGUGAAGUCGGAAUCGCUAGUAAUCGUAAAUCAGAAUGUCACGGUGAAUACGUUCCCGGGCCUU